UUGAAGAAGGUGUGCGAAGAAGGAAAACCCUAGCCACUUGAGAGAGAUAGAUAGAAGAUAAAAAAAGAAGAAGAUGAAUGCUGAUUCUUCAAUAUCUAACUCGACAGGUUUUGACAAUGUCCAAUGGUUAGGCGUUGCUCAAUUGAAUGGUUCGACCCUCCCAUGUGUAAGAGAUCGAAGAAAAUAAUCCCAGGUUUGCUAAGGAAGAUAAGUAAACAUGAAAAAGAGAUUCGGAAGUUGCAGGAGAAUGUGAAAGCUAAGGAGAAAAUGAAAGUUAAAUUAGUUCGUGCUGAGCCAAAUACAAUAAAAGAGUACUGUAGUUGUAGUCUUUGCAGGUAAUGUUGUAAUCCUACUUAUUUUUAACUUUGACAAUAAUGUAGUGGAUCUGAAUCAGUUAAUGUAAUAUGUAGGGAAUUUUGGAUUGAUUAAUAUGUCUUUUUUGAAUUCAAGGUAUUUGUGAUGAAGUUUAGUGUUCUAAGUAGUAGGUGUACGUAGUGAGGCUUAGUGAUCCAGUGUAGUGUAAAUGGAAUUGAAGUUUGCAGUUUAGUGUGGAAAGCAAUGUAAUUGUGAUUGACUUCA